rnacentral:rRNA from 1 species
GACGAACGCUGGCGGCGUGCCUAAUACAUGCAAGUCGAACGCAGUUGCGAACGGGUGAGUAACGCGUAGGUAACUGCCUCAUAGCGGGGGAUAACUAUUGGAAACGAUAGCUAAUACCGCAUACUGUGAGCUGGACCUGCGUUGUAUUAGUUAGUUGAUGAGGUAAAGGCACACCAAGGCGACGAUACAUAGCCGAGCUGCGAGGGUGAUGGGCCAAAAUGGGACGGGGAAACGGCCCAGACUCCUACGGGAGGCAGCAGUAGGGAAUCUUCGGCAAAAGAGGGAAGUCUGACCGAGCAACGCCGCGUGAGUGAAGAAGGUUUUCGGAUCGUAAAGCUCAGUUGUUAGAGAAGCGGUAACUAAACAGAAAGGAACGGCUAACUACGUGCCAGCAGCCGCGGUAAUAC